AGAGUUUGAUCCUGGCUCAGGACGAACGCUGGCGGUGCGCCUUAUGCAUGCAAGUCGAGCGAAGCUUUUCAGUAGUUUACUACAGAAAAUGACUGAGCGGCGAACGGGUGAGUAACGCGUGAGCAAUCUACCUUAGUUACAGGGAUAGCCCGAGGAAACUCGGAUUAAUACCUGAUAUUCUUUACAUUUCGCAUGAAAUCAAAAGGAAAGGUCAGCCGAACUAAGAUGAGCUCGCGUUCUAUCAGCUAGUUGGUGAGGUAAAAGCUCACCAAGGCAACGACGGAUAGCUGGUCUGAGAGGACGAUCAGCCACACUGGGACUGAGACACGGCCCAGACUCCUACGGGAGGCUGCAGCAGGGAAUAUUGCGCAAUGAGCGAAAGCUUGACGCAGCGACACCGCGUGUGGGAUGACGGAUCUAGGUUUGUAAACCACUUUCAGGAGGGAAGAAAAUGACGGUACCUCCACAAGAAGCCCCGGCCAACUACGUGCCAGCAGCCGCGGUAAUACGUAGGGGGCGAGCGUUGUCCGGAUUUAUUGGGCGUAAAGAGCUCGUAGGCGGUUCAACAAGUCGGUCGUAAAAGUUCAGGGCUCAACCCUGAAAUGUCGAUCGAUACUGUUGUGACUAGGAUACGGUAGAGGUGAGUGGAAUUCCGAGUGUAGCGGUGAAAUGCGUAGAUAUUCGGAGGAACACCAAUUGCGAAGGCAGCUCACUGGGCCGCUAUCGACGCUGAGGAGCGAAAGCUAGGGGAGCAAACAGGAUUAGAUACCCUGGUAGUCCUAGCUGUAAACGAUGGAUACUAGACGUAGGAACUGGAUUGACGGUUUCUGUGUCGUAGCUAACGCGUUAAGUAUCCCGCCUGGGGGAGUACGGUCGCAAGACUAAAACUCAAGGAAUUGACGGAAUCCA
rnacentral:rRNA from 1 species